GACGAACGCUGGCGGCGUGCUUAACACAUGCAAGUCGAACGGAAAGGCCCUGCUUUUGUGGGGUGCUCGAGUGGCGAACGGGUGAGUAACACGUGAGUAACCUGCCCUUGACUUUGGGAUAACUUCAGGAAACUGGGGCUAAUACCGGAUAGGAGCUCCUGCUGCAUGGUGGGGGUUGGAAAGUUUCGGCGGUUGGGGCUGGACUCGCGGCUUAUCAGCUUGUUGGUGGGGUAGUGGCUUACCAAGGCUUUGACGGGUAGCCGGCCUGAGAGGGUGACCGGCCACAAUGGGACUGAGAGACGCCCCAGACUCCUACGGGAGGCAGCAGUGGGGAAUAUUGCACAAUGGGCGGAAGCCUGAUGCAGCAACGCCGCGUGCGGGAUGACGGCCUUCGGGUUGUAAACCGCUGUCGCCUGUGACGAAGCGUGAGUGACGGUAAUGGGUAAAGAAGCACCGGCUAACUACGUG
rnacentral:rRNA from 1 species